UACGAAGGGGGCUAGCGUUGCUCGGAAUCACUGGGCGUAAAGCGCACGUAGGCGGAUCUUUAAGUCAGGGGUGAAAUCCUGGAGCUCAACUCCAGAACUGCCUUUGAUACUGGCGAUCUCGAGUCCGGGAGAGGUGAGUGGAACUGCGAGUGUAGAGGUGAAAUUCGUAGAUAUUCGCAAGAACACCAGUGGCGAAGGCGGCUCACUGGCCCGGUACUGACGCUGAGGUGCGAAAGCGUGGGGAGCAACAG
rnacentral:rRNA from 1 species